rnacentral:rRNA from 1 species
AUUGAACGCUGGCGGCAGGCCUAACACAUGCCAGUCGAGCGAGCGGCGGACGGGUGAGUAAUGUAUGGGGACUGCCCGAUAGAGGGGGAUAACUACUGGAGACGGUAGCUAAUACCGCAUACUAUCGGAUAACCCAUAUGGGAUUAGCUAGUAGGUGAGGUAAUGGCUCCCCGAGUCGACGAUCCCUAGCUGGUCUGAGAGGAUGAUCAGCCAACCUGGGAAUGAGACACGGCCCAGACGCCUACGGAGGGAGCAGUGGGGAAUAUUGCACAAGGGGCGCAAGCCUGAUGCAGCCAGGCCGCGUGUAUGAAGAAGGCCCUAGGGGUGGAAAGUACUUUCAGUCGGGAGGCGUUACCGGCAGAAGAAGCACCGGCUAACUCCGUGCCAGCAGCCGCGGUAAUAC